CUUCGGGUUGUAAAGCACUUUUGUCCGGAAAGAAAACGNUCUGGUUAAUACCUGGGGNGGAUGACGGUACCGGAAGAAUAAGCACCGGCUAACUACGUGCCAGCAGCCGCGGUAAUACGUAGGGUGCGAGCGUUAAUCGGAAUUACUGGGCGUAAAGCGUGCGCAGGCGGUUUUGUAAGACAGGCGUGAAAUCCCCGAGCUCAACUUGGGAAUUGCGCUUGUGACUGCAAGGCUAGAGUAUGUCAGAGGGGGGUAGAAUUCCACGUGUAGCAGUGAAAUGCGUANAGAUGUGGAGGAAUACCGAUGGCGAAGGCAGCCCCCUGGGACGUCACUGACGCUCAUGCACGAAAGCGUGGGGAGCAAACAGGAUUAGAUACCCUGGUAGUCCACGCCCUAAACGAUGUCAACUAGUUGUUGGGGAUUCAUUUCUUCAGUAACGUAGCUAACGCGUGAAGUUGACCGCCUGGGGAGUACGGUCGCAAGAUU
rnacentral:rRNA from 1 species